CCCUCAAGUGAGGAAUACCGGCGAGAAAUCGCCGACAAGACCGCAUAGGCUGCCCGCUCUUGGGUGAGCGAGCAGCAAAGGACUCCUUCGCAAGAAGGGGGCCGCUUGAGGAUGGGCCCGUGGCCGAUUAGCUAGUUGGUGAGGUAAGAGCUCACCAAGGCGACGAUCGGUAGCUGGUCUGAGAGGACGAGCAGCCACACUGGGAUUGAGAACGGCCCAG
rnacentral:rRNA from 1 species